rnacentral:piRNA from 1 species
CACCACGAUAUUGAGGAAGCACAGGACAUC